rnacentral:rRNA from 1 species
AUUGAACGCUGGCGGCAGGCUUAACACAUGCAAGUCGAGCGAGCGGCGGACGGGUGAGUAAUGUCUGGGAAACUGCCUGAUGGAGGGGGAUAACUACUGGAAACGGUAGCUAAUACCGCAUACAAUCAGUUGUGCCCAUAUGGGAUUAGCUAGUGGGUGGGGUAAUGGCUCACCUAGGCGAAGAUCCCUAGCUGGUCUGAGAGGAUGACCGCCCACACUGUAACUGAGACACGGUCCAUACUCCUACGUGAGGCAGCAGUGGGGAAUAUUGCACAAUGGGCGCAAGCCUGAUUCAGCCAGGCCGCGUGUGUGAAGAAGGCCUUCGGGUUGUAAAGCACUUUCAGCGAGGAGGCGUUACUCGAAGAAGAAGCACCGGCUAACUCCGUGCCAGCCGCCGCGGUAAUUC